rnacentral:rRNA from 1 species
UGAACACGAGACGCUACGGCGUCGAAGCAGUCUAUGUCAUACUUCCAAGAAAAGCUCGCAAUGUCAUGAACAAAUAAUGCCUGUACCAUAACCGACACAGGUGGGUAGGUAGAGUAUACUAAGGGGCGCGAGAUAACUCUCUCUAAGGAACUCGGCAAAGUGACUCCGUAACUUCGGGAGAAGGAGUGCCUUAUUUAUAAGGUUGCAAUAACAAGAUCCAAGCAACUGUUUAUCAAAAACACAGGUCUCCGCUAAGUCGUAAGACGAUGUAUGGGGGCUGACGCCUGCCCAGUGCCAGAAGGUUAAAGAAGUUGGUUAGCAUUCGCGAAGCUGAUAACUGAAGCCCUGGUGAACGGCGGCCGUAACAAUAACGGUCCUAAGGCAGCGAAAUUCCUUGUCGGGUAAGUUCCGACCCGCACGAAAGGCGUAAUGAUUUGGAUACUGUCUCGGAGAGGGGCUCGGUGAAAUAGACUUGUCUGUGAAGAUGCGGACUACCUGCACCUGGACAGAAAGACCCUAUGAAGCUUUACUGUAACUUGAAAUUGAAAUUGGACUUUAUUUGCGCAGCAUAGGUGGGAGGCGUUGAGAGUAUUCUUGCGGGAAUACUGGAGCCAUCAGUGAGAUACCACUCUUGUAAUGUUAGAUUUCUAACUUUGUAUCAUUAUCUGGUCAAAGAACAGUUUCAGGCGGGCAGUUUGACUGGGGCGGUCGCCUCCCAAACGGUAACGGAGGCGUACAAAGGUUUCCUCUGAACGGGUAGAAAUCGUAUCUAGAGUGUAAAGGCAUAAGGAGGCUUGACUGUGAGACCUACAAGUCGAGCAGGGACGAAAGUCGGUCUUAGUGAUCUGACGGUGCUGAGUGGAAAGGCCGUCACUCAACGGAUAAAAGUUACUCUAGGAUAACAGGCUGAUCUCCCCCAAGAGUUCACAUCGACGGGGAGGUUUGGCACCUCGAUGUCGGCUCAUCGCAUCCUGGGGCGGUAGUACGUCCCAAGGGUUGGGCUGUUCGCCCAUGAAAGCGGUACGCGAGCUGGGUUCAGAACGUCGUGAGACAGUUCGGUCCAUAUCCGGUGUAGGCGUUAGAAUAUUGAGAGGAGCCUUCUUUAGUACGAGAGGACCGAGAAGGACAUACCUCUGGUGUACCAGUUAUCGUGCCAACGGUAAACGCUGGGUAGCUAUGUAUGGAGAGGAUAACCGCUGAAAGCAUCUAAGUGGGAAGCCCACCUCAAGAUAAG